GGGGGGAGCUGAGCGCUGAGACCUAGAGCUAAAGCCGGGAGACUGAGAAAAUGCAGACCACCGGGGCACUACUCAUUUCUCCGGCUCUGAUCCUGGCUGUUGUACCAGGGAUCUAAUCAGGCCUGUGUCUGCCUCCCUCUUGAGUAGGCCAGAGAUCCCAGCUAAACAGCCAUCCUACAGCAGCAACCCGCUCCAGGUGGCCCGGCGGGAGUUCCAGACCAGUCUUUUCUCCCGGGACAUUGACACAGCAGCCAAGUUUAUUGGCACUGGGGCUGCCACAGUUGGUGUGGCUGGUUCAGGGGCUGGCAUUGGAACAGUGUUUGGCAGCUUGAUCAUUGGCUAUGCCAGGAACCCGUCUCUCAAGCAGCAGCUCUUCUCCUAUGCCAUCCUGGGCUUUGCCCUGUCUGAGGCCAUGGGGCUCUUCUGUUUGAUGGUGGCCUUCCUCAUCCUCUUGGACAUGUGAAGUUCCAUGAGGGUCACCUACC